rnacentral:rRNA from 1 species
AGAACCUACCCUUUUGCGGGGGAUAACCAUUGGAAACGAUGACUAAUACCGCAUAGAAUCGCAGAUCGCAUGAUCAACGAAGGAAAGACGGCUUCGGCUGUCACAAAAGGAUGGCUCCGCGGUGCAUUAGCUAGAUGGUGGGGUAACGGCCUACCAUGGCAAUGAUGCAUAGCCGACCUGAGAGGGUGAUCGGCCACAUUGGGACUGAGACACGGCCCAA